rnacentral:rRNA from 1 species
AUUGAACGCUGGCGGCAGGCCUAACACAUGCAAGUCGAACGAGUGGCGGACGGGUGAGUAAUGUCUGGGAAACUGCCUGAUGGAGGGGGAUAACUACUGGAAACGGUAGCUAAUACCGCAACCAUCCGAUGUGCCCAGAUGGGAGUGGAUAGUUGGUGGGGUAACGGCUACCCAAGGCGACGAUCCCUAGCUGGUUUGAGAGGAUGACCAGCCACACUGGAACGUGGACACGGUCCAGACUCCCACGGGGUGCAGAAGUGGGUAAUAUUGCACAAUGGGCGCAAGCCUGAUGCAGCCAGGCCGCGUGUAUGAAGAAGGCCUUCGGGUUGUAAAGUACUUUCAGCUGGGAGGCGUUACCCGCAGAAGAAGCACCGGCUAACUCCGUGCCAGCAGCCGCGGUAAUUC